CCUACGGGAGGCUGCAGUGGGGAAUAUUGGGCAAUGGGCGCAAGCCUGACCCAGCAAUGCCGCGUGAAGGAAGAAGGCUUUCGGGUUGUAAACUUCUUUGACAGGGGAAGAGCAGAAGACGGUACCCUGAAAACAAGCCACGGCUAACUACGUGCCAGCAGCCGCGGUAAUACGUAGGUGGCAAGCGUUGUCCGGAUUUACUGGGUGUAAAGGGCGUGUAGCCGGGAAGGCAAGUCAGAUGUGAAAUCUGGAGGCUCAACCUCCAAUUUGCAUUUGAAACUGUUUUUCUUGAGUACUGGAGAGGCAGACGGAAGUCCUUGUGUAGCGGUGAAAUGCGUAGAUAUAAGGAGGAACACCAGUGGCGAAGGCGGUCUGCUGGACAGCAACUGACGGUGAGGCGCGAAAGCGUGGGGAGCAAACAGGAUUAGAUACCUUGGUAGUC
rnacentral:rRNA from 1 species